CUCCAUUCCCUCCUUCAAAUUUUUAUUGCAUCAUCUCACAAUCUUUCUUUUAAGUUUUCUCCGCAACCAAACACAACAUCUCACCAAACAGAAAUUUCUUAAAAUCAACAAAGCUUAAAAACAAUCCACGCAAGUUCUAAUUUGCAAAAUGCAAUCCAUCAACACAAUCUAAAAGUAAAAGUAAAGAAUAGAAUUUAAUUUUUUAUUUUUUAUUUUUGGUACAAACACAAAAGAACAAUAAACUCAAUCAUUCACCGCUUGCAUUUGGGGCCUCACACAUCACUGAUCGUUACUUCUUGUGAUCCGAUGAUUUUGCGACGUUCACAAGUUGAUCUGCAAUUACUAGCUGAAUUAGGAACCAAUGGAGGAGAUAUUUCUGACCGAUGAAGACAAGCGACGGCCGACCAAGAGUGAGGAGGGAGGGAGAUGAUCCAUUAACUGAAUGAAAAGUGAGGGAGAACCCUAGAAUAAUGAGGAAGGAGGCGGUGUACAGAGAAUAGAAGAGAGGAAAUGGACCAUGGUCAAGGAGAAGAUAACUGGUUAAAGAGUAAUUUGCUAGGAUUCAAGGAGAUGGAUGGCAUGUGGAGGUCUUCAACAAUGGAGGCAAGAGAGCUCAAAGAGACGGCGGCAGAUGAGAACGAAAUGGAGGAGAAAGAUGAAACAGAAAAUGAAAAAGGUAACGGUCUUUAAGGAAGGAAUAUAAGUAAGGGUAAUUUGGUAAUUUUCUAAAAUUCUCUCU
rnacentral:lncRNA from 1 species